GCCCCCGUAGUGAAAUGGAUUAUCAUUACUGACUACGAAUCAGUCGUUCGAGGUUCGAAUCCUCGCGGGGGCGCCA
rnacentral:tRNA from 1 species